ACACACACAGUCAGUAUCUGACCUGGUACUGUUUGUGUAGUUGAAUUUUUCUACUAGCCUGAAGACGUCCUCUGUGUGUGUGUGUGUGUACCUGAAGAUGUGUGUGUGUGUGUGUGUGUGUGUCUGAAGGUGUGUGUGUGUGUGUGUGUGUGUGUGUGUGUCUGAAGGUGUGUGUCUGAAGGUGUGUGUGUGUGUCUGAAGGUGUGUGUGUGUGUGUGUGUGUCUGAAGGUGUGUGUGUGUGUGUGUGUGUCUGAAGGUGUGUGUGUGUGUGUGUGUGUCUGAAGGUGUGUGUGUGUGUGUGUGUGUGUCUGAAGGUGUGUGUGUGUGUGUGUGUGUCUGAAGGUGUGUGUGUGUGUGUGUGUCUGAAGGUGUGUGUGUGUGUGUGUGUGUGUGUCUGAAGGUGUGUGUCUGAAGGUGUGUGUGUGUCUGAAGGUGUGUGUGUGUGUGUCUGAAGGUGUGUGUGUGUGUGUGUGUGUGUCUGAAGGUGUGUGUGUCUGAAGGUGUGUGUGUGUGUGUGUGUGUGUGUCUGAAGGUGUG